AUUAUACUCUGGCCUGAGGUUGGAAACAUCCAACAACUCAGUCUCCACAUCCUCUAGAUUUUCCUGUCCAGUACAUAAUGCUCCCCCAGCCUCCACCCAACCUGCAGAGGGUGGUGUGAAUCUACAUUGAAAUGUAUUCCCUGAGCCCUGGUAUUUCUCCUCGACGGACGGCAAUGCCUAGCAUGCCAGCCAGGCACGGCAUGAGAUGGGGGGUCUGAAAUGCAGGAGCUGCUAUCCAGGAUUCACUUGCAAUCCACUGAAGGCCUGUCACAUUCUGCCUCAGCACCUGUGUAUCAUAUAAAAUAUAUAUGUUUACAGGUUUACACACUAUGAGCAAGUAUUGCAUAUCAUCAUAACUGGAGUUCAGUGGAAUUGGUGGUAAGAUCUCAGUGUAGGCCAGACAACCGCCACCAUACCGAACAAAGUCAGAUUGGAAGGAUCGAGCAGCGUGGAGUCCAUAGUCAUCCUCACUGACCAGUAGACCUGCCCAAGUCCAGCCAAAGUGGUUCAAAAUCUGAAUCAUAGCACGCACCUUAGGGAAUAAAAAGUGAACUGUUUCAUUAUAGCUACGGAUGGUUACCUGGAAAGCAUCACUUGGGAUCGUCCUAAAGAAGGAUGGAAACUUCUGCCGGUCACUCAGACAGGAACAUGUGGCAAAAUAACUCACCUGUGAAAGACACAGAC